GACAGAGGGUGCAAACGUUGUUCGGAAUUACUGGGCGUAAAGCGCGUGUAGGCGGCUAAGUAAGUCGGGCGUGAAAUCCCACGGCUCAACCGUGGAAGUGCACUCGAAACUGCAUAGCUAGAGUCCUGGAGAGGAAGGUGGAAUGCUUGGUGUAGAGGUGAAAUUCGUAGAUAUCAAGCGGAACACCGGUGGCGGAGGCGGCCUUCUGGACAGUGACUGGCGGUGAGGCGCGAAAGCGUGGGGAGCAAACAGG
rnacentral:rRNA from 1 species